ensembl:miRNA gmo-mir-200b gmo-mir-200b
CAUCUUACGAGGCAGCAUUGGAUGUCAUAUCCCUCUCUAAUACUGCCUGGUAAUGAUGAU